rnacentral:rRNA from 1 species
GACGAACGCUGGCGGCGUGCUUAACACAUGCAAGUCGAACGGAAAGGCCCUGCUUUUGUGGGGUGCUCGAGUGGCGAACGGGUGAGUAACACGUGAGUAACCUGCCCUUGACUUUGGGAUAACUUCAGGAAACUGGGGCUCAUACCGGAUAGGAGCUCCUGCUGCAUGGUGGGGGUUGGAAAGUUUCGGCGGUUGGGGAUGGACUCGCGGCUUAUCAGCUUGUUGGUGGGGUAGUGGCUUACCAAGGCUUUGACGGGUAGCCGGCCGGAGAGGGUGACCGGCCACAUUGGGACUGAGAUACGGGCCAGACUCCUACGGGAGGCAGCAGUGGGGAAUAUUGCACAAUGGGCGGAAGCCUGAUGCAGCAACGCCGCGUGCGGGAUGACGGCCUUCGGGUUGUAAACCGCUUUCGCCUGUGACGAAGCGUGAGUGACGGUAAUGGGUAAAGAAGCACCGGCUAACUACGUG